rnacentral:rRNA from 1 species
UACGGGGGGGGCGAGCGUUGUUCGGAAUUAUUGGGCGUAAAGGGCGCGUAGGCGGUGUGGCAAGUCAGGUGUGAAACCUCCAGGCUCAACUUGGAGCUUGCAUCUGAAACUGCCGUGCUAGAGUGUGGGAGAGGAGAGUGGAAUUCCUGGUGUAGCGGUGAAAUGCGUAGAUAUCAGGAGGAACACCGGUGGCGAAGGCGGCUCUCUGGACCACGACUGACGCUGAGGCGCGAAAGCGUGGGGAGCGAACAGG